rfam:Pseudomonas sp. Lz4W Contig08, whole genome shotgun sequence.
UUGGUUAGAACUGAACCUAGGUUGUCGCCGCACAGGCGCCAACAAAAUGCUCGCCACGCCGGCAGCGAGCACACCAACGGCAGAACACUCUGCCCCGACCCUUGGUAGGUCGACGCUAUAUAAAACAGUCAAC